rnacentral:rRNA from 1 species
UACGUAGGGUGCGAGCGUUUAAUCGGAAUUACUGGGCGUAAAGCGUGCGCAGGCGGUUGGCAAAGUCAGCUGUGAAAGCCCUGGGCUCAACCUGGGAAUUGCAUUGGAUACUGGCAGGCUAGAGUGCGGUAGAGGGUAGUGGAAUUCCCGGUGUAGCAGUGAAAUGCGUAGAUAUCGGGAGGAACACCAGUGGCGAAGGCGACUACCUGGACCAGCACUGACACUGAGGCACGAAAGCGUGGGGAGCAAACAGG